GUAUGAAGUGCAGUUAGCUCUGCCAAAAGCAACACACCUUCCCAAAUACAAGAAAGUGAAGAAAUUCAAAUUAAAACACUCAGAAUCUCAAUCUGAAAACUUAACACGUUCUCUUGGUAGCCACACAAGUAUGAGCAAUACGUCUACAGACAGUGCUUAUAUUUCAGCUGAAUGUGGUUCUGCUGAAGGUUCUUCUCAUUGUACUGGGUCUUCUACAGUUUAUGUAAAUGAGGCACGUGAUAAGGUCUCCAUGAGAGUAAAUGAGAGCUGUUUGGAGACCGUCUCCUGUUUGAGCGAGCCACCAGAUAAGGCAUCCUUAGAAUUUAAUGGGAAGCCUCAUAAGGCCAACUCAUGCGUAAAUCAGACAGCUAGUGAGCCCUCCUUACAAGUAAGUGAUGUUUGUGAUGAGGUCUUCUUACAAGUAAAUGAGGCAUCUGGUGCGCUUGCCACCUUAAACUUAGAGAAGGACCGACCAAAAAGUGCGGAUGACAAGCUCAAGUUAUCAACGAGUGUUGUUAUUGAGUCCAACUGUGAAGCAGAAGGUUCGCAUACCCUACUCAACAUCCCAACUGCACAUCGCCACAGUACACAAAAAUCUCACACAAGCUUUAUGUUCUGGAGAAGAAAAAAUAAAUGUUGUGGAAAGCGAGUGUCAGUCAGUCCUCGUAUUGAUGUUUUGCUCCAGCAAAUUCUACCAUUAAAGUCAAAGAACUGUCAUGUGCAGCCACCAAAAGCUCACAAGAGGCCACUGGUUUACUUAAAACGAAACCUGAAGAAUAGAAAAGAGACGAUGAAGCAAGCCAUGGCUGGACACGUGCAUACAAUGUCACGUAAGAGGAAGCUGUGCACACAAAAACAUAACAAGGGUUAUGAUGAUUCUAUCAAGAAGAUGAAAUCCAAUGAGAAAAUUUCUUUGCUUGUGAGUGGGAUGGAGGAAAGUUGCACGAAAGCUAGUGGCAAACCGAAAACUUCCACGUCAAUUAGCAACGAAACAUUAAGAGCUUCUGUCAGAUCCCAGAAGACGUCAUGCGGCGAAGCGAGAUUGAAGAGAAAAUCGAAUAAAACCAAGACAUCUGCAAAAAUUGUCUCGGGACAAGUAAACGUGAAAGUCGCGGUGCAGCCGACCACUCAGCUUAAAACAGUGCCAUCUCUUGGACGUUAUAAAGGAAAAGCGAUUGGCGUCUGCCGACCUAAUAUGGCGAAGAGACACCCAAAUGGCGCCUCUGUCGACGUACAGACUCUCUUAAAGUUGCGACGACCGAGAUCGUUUGGAUCGCUUUCACAAAUGGAGCAGCUGGAACUGUUGUCACCGGGUCUGCAGUACAAACAGACAGAGAAGACAUUGUCACACUGUGGUGGAUCCUGGAGCACCAUCGUCAAGGAGAAUUAGGAGUGCCUUCUUAUCUGCAUGGACAUCAUCAGGUGUUCCAUGCAGAGAUAGCCAGCGACCAGGACAGCGUCAGUAAGCCAGCGACCAGGACAGCGUCAGUAAGCCAGCGACCAGGACAGCGUCAGUAAGCCAGCGACCAGGACAGCAUCAGUAAGUCAGCGACCAGGACAGCGUCAGUAAGUCAGCGACCAGGACAGCGUCAGUUAGCCAGCGAUCAGGACAGCGUCAGUAAGUCAGCGACCAGUGCCGAUGGGAGCCAAAGAGCCGCAGUAUGUCGCGAAUCCGGAAGACAACCCGCUAAUGUACGUCGCCAUCUUUGCGACCAUCUUGGGAGUCAUCGUGCUCCUAUACAUCUCCUCGUACCUGUAUCGCCGAUACGUUGAGAAGCCGCAUCAACAAGAGUUGGGAUACGUUCUUGUUGAUGAUGCGUCGACGAAGGUACUUUACGUGCGGAGGCCCUCACUGCUCAAGUAACCGUGGCAUAUAUUUAUCAGAAAAAAAUGGGUCAUCUCACCGCCUUGAUUCCAUUCACGACAUUCCACUGUUAGUACACGUGAUACCGAAUGGCUACGUGGAAGUAUCAUCAACUUGCAUGAGCAAGUCAAACAGCACCUCAGUCGGAUCGUGGCGUGUGGCUCUUCUUCUCGCGUUUUUUCCUUCAAGUGUCUGCCUUGUUGAUAUCGGCACAUAAACAUAAAGAUCGGCUGCAACCCAGGCAUAUCACUAUUUACUGUUGCACAUCCAAUGGUAUCAAGAGCUAAUAAUAUCUGGUAAUUGCUCUUGGUGGUAUGCAAAGCACGUUACAGAGCAGAACAGAGGACUUCCUUAUACGCACUUUCAACUUGCAACAAGCCAUCUAUGUUAAAGUUCAUGCCAAAACAAAAAAUUCGAGAACUUUGAUCAUUAAAUAGCAGAGUUGUAUUUGGAGACUCGUCACAAAAUCCUCAUAAUAUGGAAAAAACCCAUUUUAAUGCAUGGUCCCAUUUUUUCUGAUAAAGAUGUCUGAAGAACAGGUAAAACAAUAGGUCCAAUGAUUAACAAUAAACAAAAAGUACAGAAAGCAAAAUUCUUAUAUAGGCCCUAGCACUAUUAUCUUUAUUUUUUUUUAAAAUUAAAUGAUGAUAGACUUACUGAAUAAUUUCGAACGCCGUUGAUAUGUGUCUAUGUAGGGAGGGAGAAUGCUAACUUAGGUGGUGGAUGUCAGAAACUUUUAACGUGCCACAUUCUACUUGCUAGUAAACCUAUAGUCAUUCAUCCAGGUGUAGCAGGUAUACCAAAUGCGCUCAAUAAGUUUUAUAAUUAAUCUGCCGAGCAAGGGAGAAUGAUGGGCCCAAUUUAACGAAGGUGUACAAACUAAUAUCUCGGCUAGUAUAUGUCAUAGGGGCAACCGGUACGGACUUAUUUGUUGGUAAUCCUGAUUGUUUGAUAAGCUGAUGUAAUAUUGUUCGGAAUACAUGAAUGAUAACAGAAAUUCGACUGAUGCUGCAUUGUUUUGCACUCAUACUCUAUAUGUUGUUAAGUAGCUCUGGAUAUGUCUAAUGUGGUUUUGUAAAAGCGAACAAAGUAAAAAAAAUUGUUUGCUUGUUGUUAUCACUGUCAACAAUGAAUGUAGUGAAGUAUUAAACUGAGAUUCAUCUAUUGAACAA